rnacentral:rRNA from 1 species
AAGCGGGAAGAGCUCAAGCUUAAAAUCUCCUUGCAGUCUCUGCUCGGCGAAUUGUAGUCUAUUGAGACGUAGUCAGCGCGCAGGAUCCGGUCAAGUUCCUUGGAAGAGGACAGCAUGGAGGGUUACACUCCCGUCUCUGCCGGCAAAUGCACGCGUACGACGCGUCUUCUUUGAGUCGCGUUGUUUGGGAAUGCAGCGCAAAGCAGGUGGUAAAUUCCAUCUAAAGCUAAAUACCUGUGCGAGACCGAUAGCGAACAAGUACCGUGAGGGAAAGAUGAAAAGAACUUUGAAAAGAGAGUUAAAGAGUACCUGAAACUGCUGAAAGGGAAGCGAAUCGCGUCCGCUGUCCAUCCGUGGUGAACCGCUUCGGCGAUUCCCGCGGAGGAGUCAAAGUCAGUUUGGUGUCGAAGGUAAAGUCGACUGUGCGCGUAGCAUGGCUGACUUUCGGGUCCGGGCCCUACGAGAAACGUUGUGCGUAGCCUCGACGAGGACUGAGGCGAUAACAGCAACCGCGUGUGCUCCGUAAGUUUGUGCGGAGAUCGGAUAGGCAGGCCCUACCUCCUGGCGAGAUGCUCCACUAUACAUGAGCCGCAUGUACGCGAGCGGAUG